UGUAACCUGAGAGAAUUUAAGUACGGGCAAUAUCUUAUGAGUCUAAAGUUAGAUAUCAAAAACAACGACUUAAAGAACAAAUUUGAAAUCAAUUCUCAGAUAGUCCAGCCCUCUUUGGAAACUCAUAUCCCUAAACCCACUGAGUUAUGAAUAAUUACUGUGCAAAAAUGUUUUGAAGGAAUCUGCUCCACAUUUUACCAUUGUCUUGGCCAUAAGACCAGAUACUGUCACGAUAUUUGUAUAUGAUAAGUAGGAAAUUAGACCAACAUGAGGGCACAGCAGAAGAGCAGCGCCUCCUCUGGAUGGACAGAGAAGAAAGAUGACAGCAGGAACAAGAAGAAAACUUAAGUCUUCCUAAACUGUGAAGAGGAAUGGAAGACAAAGGAGAUGCUGCUUCUGACAGACUGUAGAAGGUGUUUGCAGAGAAGCUGCAAUAGAGGAAUAAUGGAGCAGAAGCAGAGGAGAGAGUGACAAGCAGAUGCCUCUGAAAAUAUCACUGUUUUUGGAGAGCCACAGAAUGCCCCAGGUUUCCCCUUCAUUUUUACUUGAUGCCAAUUUCUCUUCCAUGAGUCCUAGCCAGCAUUAGUAGCAACCAGUACAAUGGAUAAACUCUGGCCCUGGGAAUGCGCAUUAGACGUGACCACUGAUGGGAGGCAUGGUGACACCACAGGCUGUUUAAGAAAGAAGCACUUUUAGAUAAAAAAAAUGGCUUACAAUUUUCCAAAGUAAGAAAAUGCAUUCACAAGAGAAGACAUGGGAAAAAAAUCCAUCUGAUUA